AGAGUUUGAUCCUGGCUCAGGAUGAACGCUAGCUACAGGCUUAACACAUGCAAGUCGAGGGGCAGCAUGAUCGAAGCUUGCUUUGAUUGAUGGCGACCGGCGCACGGGUGAGUAACGCGUAUCCAACCUUCCCUAUAGUAGAGAAUAGCCCGGCGAAAGUCGGAUUAAUGCUCUAUGUUGUAUUUAGAAGACAUCUGAAGAAUACCAAAGGUUUACCGCUAUAGGAUGGGGAUGCGUCUGAUUAGGUAGUAGGCGGGGUAACGGCCCACCUAGCCGACGAUCAGUAGGGGUUCUGAGAGGAAGGUCCCCCACAUUGGAACUGAGACACGGUCCAAACUCCUACGGGAGGCAGCAGUGAGGAAUAUUGGUCAAUGGACGGAAGUCUGAACCAGCCAAGUAGCGUGCAGGAUGACGGCCCUAUGGGUUGUAAACUGCUUUUAUAUAGGGAUAAAGUCGGGGACGUGUCCCCGUUUGUAGGUACUAUAUGAAUAAGGACCGGCUAAUUCCGUGCCAGCAGCUGC
rnacentral:rRNA from 1 species